AUUGAACGCUGGCGGAAUGCUUUACACAUGCAAGUCGAACGGUAGAGGGGGCAACCCCUCGAGAGUGGCGAACGGGUGAGUAAUAUAUCGGAACGUGCCCAGUCGUGGGGAUAACGUAGCGAAAGUUACGCUAAUACCGCAUACGAUCUAAGGAUGAAAGCGGGGGAUCGCAAGACCUCGCGCGAUUGGAGCGGCCGAUAUCAGAUUAAGUAGUUGGUGGUGUAAAGACUCACCAAGCCAACGAUCUGUAGCUGGUCUGAGAGGACGACCAGCCACACUGGAACUGAGACACGGUCCAGACUCCUACGGGAGGCAGCAGUGGGGAAUUUUGGACAAUGGACGCAAGUCUGAUCCAGCCAUUCCGCGUGCAGGAUGAAGGCCCUCGGGUUGUAAACUGCUUUUGUACGGAACGAAAAGGUCUCUCUUAAUACGGGGGACUCAUGACGGUACCGUAAGAAUAAGCACCGGCUAACUACGUGCCAGCCGCCGCGGUAAGAC
rnacentral:rRNA from 1 species